rnacentral:rRNA from 1 species
AGCGAACGCUGGCGGCAGGCUUAACACAUGCAAGUCGAACGGCCCUUCGGGGCAGUGGCGGACGGGUGAGUAACACGUGGGAACGUGCCCUUAGGUUCGGAACAACACAGGGAAACUUGUGCUAAUACCGGAUGUGCCCUUUUGGGGAAAGAUUUAUCGCCUUUGGAGCGGCCCGCGUCUGAUUAGCUUGUUGGUGGGGUAAAGGCCUACCAAGGCAACGAUCAGUAGCUGGUCUGAGAGGAUGGCCAGCCACACUGGGACUGAGACACGGCCCAGACUCCUACGGGAGGCAGCAGUGGGGAAUAUUGCACAAUGGGCGCAAGCCUGAUGCAGCAACGCCGCGUGAGGGACGACGGCCU